CAUAUAUUUGGCAUUGUUUUUUGACCUUUUUCACUCCAGAAAGCAAUAUAGUACUUUAAUCUUACAGUACAACCUUAACAGCCUCAAUUCCCGCAUGGAGGAGAAAUGAACUUGGAUUAUUAGAGAAGAAGGUUCUUGACAUUUCCCUGCCACUACUCUUCACCCCAGAUGAAGAAACUGAGGCUCAGAAACUGGAAAUAUUUCACCCUAAAUCAUGCAGAUAAUAAAUGAGAGAACCGGAGCUAGAAUU
rnacentral:lncRNA from 1 species